rnacentral:sRNA from 1 species
GCUGGGCGUGGUGGUGCAUACCUGUGAUCCCAACAGCUUGGGAGGCUGAGGCAAGGGGAUUACAGGUUUGAGGCCAGCCCCAGCAACUUAGUGAGGCCCUAAGCAACUUAGUGAGACCCUAUCUCAA